AAUGUGAUUACAAUCAAUUGCAGACUGGAACUCAGUGGUUGUCUUCACUUUGAUAAUGUUGCUACGCCUUCGACAUUUAUCACAGUGAGAAAAUCUAAAUUUUUACACUGGAAACAUCCUUCUACAUGCACAAGGAGCGAAAAGAUAGCCUCUAGCCUGUUCUGAAGAUCAUGCGCUCGCCCCUAGUUGUCAAUCACCCUCUCUUCAAGUGAAUGUGGAUGAAGUGGAUUGGUCUUGACACACCUUGAGUGUAGGUGUUCGUGCUAAUCCAAUGAGUCUGAUGGACACUCGUUGGGACAUGUUGGGCAUCGCUUUGCUCUCUCGAAGUCAGAAUCUGCACACUGCAGACCGAACUCAGCGGAUACUUUCUUCUCAUCAUUAUCGUCCACAGCUCCUAAGGGAUAAGAGACCAAAAAUUCAACAGUACAAGAUAUCAACGUCCCUUGAACUUCAAAAAUUGUUCAAGUGAUACACAAAUUUACGAAUCAGUCAUGAAGAAUAAUGCUCAUACCUAUACUUGAUUCAAACAGCCUGUAUUCUUAACACUUCCAUCCCCGCGAACUCGAAACAUAAAUGUACUUAGGGAUAAUACAUUUUUUUUCCAAUUGGGAGCCACAAAAAAGUUUCACAGGGAAAUCGCUGGAAAGACCAUGCAACUGAAUACAUGACUUACGAUCUGUAACACAAAAAAGCACUAUAAGACAUAAUAUUAACGCUGCAAGGCUGUCCAAAUAUAAUAAUGGUUCAAUCUUCAAUCUGAACUCAUGUGCAAUUCAGUGAUAUAUCACACCCUGCAGACGAAAAGGUUAUAUUCUCCUUUAGGCAUCAAUUGCUUUAAUUCUAAGAACUGAAUUGACAGAUAUAAUUAUGUAUAUGAGAAUCCGUCACGGACACAGACUUGUGAUAUGCCCAUCUAAAGUGUCUCAUGGCUUCAAGUGGCCUUAAUUUAUGUCCAUAUUUACGACAGUCACGCUUCUAAUGCGUCCAGUCAAGAAUCAGGACAAUUUUAUCAUGAAAUGCAGAAAACCCACUCAUUGUGACUGCUAUCAGUCGAAAUUGUACACAAAAAUGCCCGCUCGGUGAGAGAUAAAGAGGCAGAGUUAUACAAAUGACACACCAGAACCUUCGAAGCCAACCUUGGUAUCGAAGAAUGAACGAUUCUGCAAAAUAUCCGGUACAACUGUCGAGCAUUGUUAGGCUGAUACCAACUGAACCAGGCUCAAAAUCCAUAUGCUGAUGAUGAAGAAGCUACUUGUAUCGAUAACAUCUACGAUGACAUUUUCGCAGUGUUUACAAUCUUUGCAUUACGAGCGCAUGAUCAAAGAUGCUAGCACGCUUCUUUCAAUACGAAGAAGAGGGAACUUCACGUCCUACCUCUGCAUCGGUGCGUGUGAACGCGGCAUCAAAAUGCUUGGAAGCCAGCAGUUUCAAAAGCAUUUCCUUACUCCUGCACAAAUUUCAUGCACUGAUAAGCUGAUAUACAAGAAAAAGCAUUAACUCCAAAAUAUCUCCGUGAUGGAUAUCUACUGUAGGAUAAAAGAUUAGAGGAAACUGUCUUUACAUUUACCCAAAAGGAACAGCAAUUCACAUGCAUGACAAAGUCGAAAUGUGCUAACAGAUAGAGCGAAAAGGUAUCGAUCACUUAGACAGAAAUCUAC
rnacentral:lncRNA from 1 species